UACGUAGGGGGCUAGCGUUGUCCGGAAUCAUUGGGCGUAAAGCGCGUGUAGGCGGUCCGGUAAGUCCGCUGUGAAAGUCGAGGGCUCAACCCUGGAAUGCCGGUGGAUACUGUCGGGCUAGAGUUCGGAAGAGGCAAGUGGAAUUCCUGGUGUAGCGGUGGAAUGCGCAGAUAUCAGGAGGAACACCUAUAGCGAAGGCAGCUUGCUGGGACGACACUGACGCUGAGGCGCGAAAGCGUGGGGAGCGAACAGG
rnacentral:rRNA from 1 species